AGUGGCGGACGGGUGAGUAACGCGUAAGAAUCUAACUUCAGGACGGGGACAACAGUUGGAAACGACUGCUAAUACCCGAUGUGCCGCAAGGUGAAACCUAAUUGGCCUGGAGAAGAGCUUGCGUCUGAUUAGCUAGUUGGUGGGGUAAAGGCCUACCAAGGCGACGAUCAGUAGCUGGUCUGAGAGGAUGAGCAGCCACACUGGGACUGAGACACGGCCCAGACUCCUACGGGAGGCAGCAGAGGGGAAUUUUCCGCAAUGGGCGAAAGCCUGACGGAGCAACGCCGCGUGAGGGAGGAAGGUCUUUGGAUUGUAAACCUCUUUUCUCAAGGAAGAAGUUCUGACGGUACUUGAGGAAUCAGCCUCGGCUAACUCCGUGCCAGCAGCCGCGGUAAUACGGGGGAGGCAAGCGUUAUCCGGAAUUAUUGGGCGUAAAGCGUCCGCAGGUGGUCAGCCAAGUCUGCCGUCAAAUCAGGUUGCUUAACGACCUAAAGGCGGUGGAAACUGGCAGACUAGAGAGCAGUAGGGGUAGCAGGAAUUCCCAGUGUAGCGGUGAAAUGCGUAGAGAUUGGGAAGAACAUCGGUGGCGAAAGCGUGCCACUGGGCUGUAUCUGACACUCAGGGACGAAAGCUAGGGGAGCGAAAGGGAUUAGAUACCCCUGUAGUCCUAGCCGUAAACGAUGGAUACUAGGCGUGGCUU
rnacentral:rRNA from 1 species